GUAGUGGGAUGUCCACAAGUUGUCUCCUAUAACAGUUUGGAUUACAAAAUUCAGGUUGAAAUUUUCCUUUCUUCCUAUGUCAAUCAUACCAAGAGUAAAAAAUUUUGUAAAUAGAAUUCAGCAAGACAACAUAUAGUUAUUGAAAUUUAUAAUGCAUAAACUAAUUUUUACAUACAACAUCGACCAGUGAAAAAGAACAAUAUUUUACUAUCCAGACUAUUUUUAGAAAUAGUUGCAAUGAGGGUAAGAACAGAAUUGAUCAAUACAAACACUAAUGCCUAUAAUUAAGGCAUCUAAUUAUUUUCAGCUAUUCACAGAGCUGAUUUGUUUAACAACUACCCCUAUUUAAAGUACAGACAAGCCUAAAAAAGGCAUUUUCUGAAUAGAUUUACAUGAAUAAAUUAGAUUAAAAACAGCACUUUCAUAAUUGAUUUACAGGUCAGCUGUUUGUUAUGUACAAAUAAUACACAGGAGAGAGAGAGAGAGAG
rnacentral:misc_RNA from 1 species